AGAUAUAUACAUAUGUGUGUGUAAAGUAAACUAUUGCUAUCUAUGUAAUUACUGGAAUAUUCCAACCAUAGGAAGACAUCAUGGUUACUGAUAAGCAAUAUUUCUUUUUUGGUUCCAUAGACCCUGAUCAUCUACUUUCUGGACUGUGUAAUGGAAGAAGGUAUUAAAGUUCUGUUCCUGUGCAUCUGAAAUGGCAGCAUUACUCACGACUGACAAAUCCAUAGAAAUGAUGGAUGGGAGUCCAAAUUUAGACAUCUGCAUCCAAGACAGCCAUCCAGACUCCCUUCACAGCUAGUGCAGAGGCAUUCUGAGGAUACACUUCCUCUCACUCCAAAAUAAGACAUUCAAAUUUAAUCAGAAGAAAAAUGUACCAAAAGGUGUUUGUCUCCACUGAAUAUUAGGAGAGUCUCCAUGAUAACUCAGCCCAGCCAUGAGCCGCAGGAUACUUGGACUUUGCAAGAGAGAGAAGAGGUGGGGUGGUAUAAGGAAAAAGGAAAAGGGUGGGGUAAAAAUGUUUGUUCCACAAGGUGUCUCUAGGAAAGCUGCAGAUUUCUGGUCUUUGCUGAUUCUGGGGUGUCCAAAGGAUGAAUCCUGGUCUGUUUCCAUGUUCCUGAAUGAAGGUGUUAUGGGCAAAUGGCCCUAAGUCUCAUCCUGUGGGAUGCAGAUGAGUGCUGGGACCACCAAGUUAAUGGUGGAGUCCGAAGACAACCUUUAUGUGUUAGGGACUUGGGAAGCAAUCUAAUUUCCCUGUUUCUCUUCCUCUUCUCAUUUUCAUCAUCUCCAGUACCACAGAUACUUGGUUUCUUGCUGGGCAGGUGGUUCUAAAACCUGGGGGAGGUGACUGAGAAAACUCAACCAGCCCUUCUGGAUCCCUCUUGAGGACAGAACCCCAGCUGUGUGAUGCUAUCACGUUUCAUUUCUGGGUUAACUGUGGUUGAAUCCUCGGUGCUUGCUGUGACUCACCAGCACAACUAAAUGUGCGUUCAGAGUGGAUACCUGUUUGCAAGUGCUACCAGAUACAUCUCUUUCUAGUGAGAGAAACCAAGGAAUUUGAAGAGAACGAUAAAAAAACCCAAGCAGACAGUAGUCUAGCCUAGUCCAAAUUUAACAUUUAGAAAGCUGAUCUAGGCUCAUCUUUUUCAGAUUAACUUUGAUUUACAUUGAAUUUCAAUUCUUAUUAUUCUAAUAUGCAAUAAAUGUAAAGUAGCUAUGCAAUAAAACUCUUUUAUAAUUCAGACAGUUGCAACAUUAAAAGUUUGUGUUAACCAAAGCUUCACAUCUACUCAGUAAAAUUGAGUGUACUUUUCUUCAAAGCUUUAUUUUUGGCUACAAGAAAGUAAAAGCAAAAUAAAACUUUGACAAAAUGUAGUCUAAAGCUCAGAUGUCUAUCAUCUGAUAUGCUUAUGUCUAUCAUCGUUGAUUGUAUAAUCUCAUUUUAAAUUAUAAAUUCUUUUGAAACAGUGCUAUGUUUAUCUAUAUUUUACAUAAACCCAAAUAUUAUAUCACAUGUAAGAAAAAGUAUAAAAAAACUCCCACAGGAUUUUCACAUUUACAAAGUAUAUUAUGAUAAUUUGGAAUAUGAUAUUUGAGUUGUUACCUAUGGCAUCCACAUAAUUAUUGAAAAGGUACUUUGUCUUAAAAGAAAAACUAUGCACAUGACACAGGAAUCUGUACAGGUUGAGUACAUCAAGUUCAGUUCCAUGAAAAUUUUGGUGGAAUGGGGCAUAUCCAUAGGUUUGAGUUAAAUAGUCAAUGCUGGGAUGGCAAAAUCUUAUUUGUCUAAGAUAUUUGAGGAAUAAAUUGCUUUUUCAGGGUGGAGUUUCAUCUGAUUAUAUUGUAAUCAAUUCAGAAUAAGAGGCCUUUGA